AAUAAAUCCAGCCUUACAGGCAAAGUUCUGAUGUCAAGUCCAAGGGAGCAUAAAGCUAAAUAUGAGCUACAUAGUGACAUGAAUAAGUAGCUGUAUAGAAACUGGGCAGUGGAAGUCAAGGCCAGAAGAUCCACGUCAUUGUUGAACACAGCAGCCUGUGUGUGUCUGAAUGGGAUGCCUGGACCUUUGGCAAACAUCUUGGGACCAUAGGAUCCAGGCUGCCUGCUGAGAAGGGCAGAGUGGAGAAAGAGAGAAUCUGGGUCCUUGACAAUUACACUGAGCUGCUUUACCUCCUGCUUCUCCCUCGUCCAGACUUUCAGUCAGACAUGAUUGCUUCAAACAGGAAGGCUAAUAGGGCCUGCAGUUUCACCGGAAUCCCCUGUCUUUGAGAACAAGGCCUUAGUCCUCUCGUAGAGGCUCUGUGAAGGGAGGAGGAGUGAUCAGACACACGGAUGGAUGCCAAUAGGACUGGGGGGUUGGGGAUGGUCUGUGUCCCAGAAGGGUCUGUCCACAGUGAUCCCUCGUCUCUGCAACCUGCACCAGGCCCACACCUACACAGCCUGAAACCCUAAGGGCAAUAAUUUCUCCCACUAUCCCUGCCUGGAAGCCUUGUGCUGGUAACUGCCCCUUCUAGCAUGUCCAGGACCCUGGAGAAAUGUUCUGAGAAGGCAUGGAAAGUGCUGUGAAAGGGACACACACACACAUGCACACACACACCCUCCACACCACACAACUGCCUCUGCCCUCUCCCUGUCUCCUCUUCUUCAGGUUUCUAAGCAGCUGAAGGUACUUACUGUCCAGGGAUGUGGAUUCUCUGGGGAAAAGUGCUUUUAUUCCUCAUGAUCCUGGGUGUCUUAGGAAUUUGGCAUAUCCAAGCGUGGUGCCGUUUUAAAAUAUAGUGUAUUAAUAGGAAAGUGAGAUUAAGUAAGGCUCACAGAUUGGGAGAUGACUGCUGUUGGAGAAAAGCUUAUUACUCACCGUUUCCAAGGGGAGGGGUCAUCCCACUCCAUGGGAGACAGAGAAGGGGGGACACAUGGAAAAGUACUGUGGUAGGUCAAGGGGCGGCAGAAAGGGAGGAACUCCCGGCCAGAGCCUCCAUCCCGGUUUCCCUGGGAGAGGACAGGCAAGGCAGGACAGCAGGUUUGGGAUUGGCUAGUUUAAAGGAUAUCAGCGGCUCUGAGGCAAAAGAGUUGUGGCCAGUUGCCUGAUACCUGGCCCUGGGUCCACAGGGCUGAGGUGAGAUCAAGGAGAGGGUAGAGGAGGAGUGGGUUCUGGAUUGGUUGGCUUGUAUUUGAAAAGCACAGCAAGCUGCUUUCCUACAUGAAGGAGUUGGCUAGUCCUGAGAGGGGCUGUCCCUCCAGGGUCAGCAAGGCCCCCAAGGUCAAAAUAUCAGAAUACACAGAAUGUGUCUUGGUUCCAUAGAGCUGCUAUAACAAAAAUGCCGCGGACUGGGGGAACUUCAUUUAUUUCUCACAGAUCUGAAGGCUGGAGGGCUAGGAUCAGGGUGCUGGCAUGUUCAGUGUCAUGUGAAAGUCUGCUUCCUGAUUCACAGACAGCAGCCUUCUUGACGUGUCCUCACAAGGAAGAAGGAGUGAGAGUUCUCUGGGGUCUCUUCUAUAAGGCUCGGCAAUCACACUCCUCACCCCCUCCUAAUCGAACCAACCUCCCAAAGGCCCCAACUCCUGAUACCAUCACCUGAGGAAUUAGGAUUUCAACAUGUGACUUUGGGGGGACACAAACAUUCCAUCCACAGCUAUACUAUGACGUGUGCUGGUUUGCAAGAUGGCCACUGUGGUUUGCUUCCCCUCCUGUAGGAGAAAGCCAUUCCCCCCCUGAGAGGAGAAAUCCAUUCCCCUUCUGUUUUAGAAUAUGAGCUGGAAUGUGGUUGCUCUGACAACAAAAUGCAGUCGAAGUAACAUGGGGUGACUUCUGAAGCUAGAUCAUAGGAAGCUUUGCAGCUCCCAACUAGAUCUCUUGGAAUAUUUGCUCAGGAAGUAACUAGUCACUGUGAAACAGUUUGGCUGUCCUGAGGCUGUCAUACUGAGAGGGAGCCCAUCUGAGUCACUGGGAGACAUCUUAGCCCCAGCUGUUCCCAACAUCUGAGGUGCCAGACAGAAGACAGAAGAUGAUGCCUUCCUCACCUGCCAUCUCAUUGCGACCAUAUGAGGGACCCGAAGGAGGAACUGCCCAUCGACCCUCAGAACCACCAGAAGUAAUAGUACAUUGUUGUUUUAAACCCCUAACUCUUAGAGUGGUUAUGAAGGAAGAAAUAAUUGAAACAUGAUAGGAAUCACGAAAUGUAGCACAUUUUCGUGGAUGUGGCAUACACUAUUUAUUGCCUAUGCAAUAACUCUUUUCCCUUCUUCCUUCCUAACAGAA